AUUGAACGCUGGCGGCAGGCCUAACACAUGCAAGUCGAGCGGGGUUUUCGGACCUAGCGGCGGACGGGUGAGUAAUGCGUAGGAAGCUACCCGAUAGAGGGGGAUACCAGUUGGAAACGACUGUUAAUACCGCAUAAUGUCUACGGACCAAAGUGUGGGACCUUCGGGCCACAUGCUAUCGGAUGCGCCUACGUGGGAUUAGCUAGUUGGUGGGGUAAUGGCUCACCAAGGCGACGAUCCCUAGCUGGUUUGAGAGGAUGAUCAGCCACACUGGAACUGAGACACGGUCCAGACUCCUACGGGAGGCAGCAGUGGGGAAUAUUGGACAAUGGGCGCAAGCCUGAUCCAGCCAUGCCGCGUGUGUGAAGAAGGCCUUCGGGUUGUAAAGCACUUUCAGUAGAGAGGAAGGGUGUUGUGUUAAUAGCACGGCAUUUUGACGUUACCUACAGAAGAAGCACCGGCUAACUCUGUGCCAGCCGCCGCCGUAAUAC
rnacentral:rRNA from 1 species